UGAGAAAAUUCAAAAUAAGUUCAAAUACGUUGCGUACAAGAAAUCAAAAGUGUGACGAAAAAUGUGCACUGUUAGACAUCGAAACUAAAAUUCUGACAGGACACACGUUUCGAUAGUGAAAAGUUAAGUGCUUGCUGAUUGUGUUGCACAAGACAGCUGCUGCUUGUAUUAAGUAACUUGACACAAGAUUGAAACCUAUCUCAUUGCUUGCUAUCCAAUAACAACAAUGACAAAUCGCAGCACUAAAUAAUACUAAAAACUGUUGAACUUUUGAUAUGAACAUGGACAAGAAGUUGAGAACGCGCUUCAAAUAAAGAUAUGCCAGCCAGCGGACCUUAAAGUGAAUAUCGACACAAUUAUAAUGCUGCUCAUAAAUUGACGUUUAUAUCGGCAUAAAAGACUGUAAAUAAGAGGCAAAAGUAGUGACCAAGCAACGAUCGGAUUAUGAACCCUAAAAAGGGCGGUCAACAGUGUUGGUGUACUCAAAAGAGACAAGAGUCAAAAAUCGCACAGAGGUCGUACACAGUCACCAAGUAUCAAAUUUGUCUACCUUGAACACAGAUCCGCAACAGAAAAACAGGGAGAAACUUCAAUGAAAGUAAUAGCUUCAAAGGAGCGCAUGCCCACGCUACGCGAGACCAAUUAACAAUGUGAACUGCGUCAAGCAACUGUAAAAGAUAGACAAACCGUUAGAUUUGCUCUUCCGCUUAGAGUUUAUGUUCUGCUAUUUCUUUUUAAUCGCUUUUUGUGUGAACAAUUGGCUGGUUGAAGUGAUACUCCGACGUAAACAACAAGAUAAUUACGUACAAAAUGCAAAUAUAAAUUGGAUUCGGACUUAUUUUCUUAUGGAAUGAGUGA